rnacentral:rRNA from 1 species
UACGUAGGUGGCAAGCGUUGUCCGGAUUUAUUGGGUUUAAAGGGUGCGUAGGCGGCUUGAUAAGUCAGUGGUGAAAGCCGAUUGCUUAACGAUCGAACUGCCAUCGAUACUACCAGGCUUGAGUAUAGAUGAGGUAGGCGGAAUUGACAGUGUAGCGGUGAAAUGCAUAGAUAUUGUCAAGAACACCAAUUGCGAAGGCAGCUUACUAAGUUAUAACUGACGCUGAGGCACGAAAGUGCGGGGAUCAAACAGG